UAUUAUCUACUCCACUCACCCCACACCAACUCAAAACUAAAAACUUUCCAACUCAACUGGUGGAUCAAUCAACAUUGGCUUGCUUCCAGCGGCAGCGUGGAAAGUUCGAUUCCUGAUGGGAACCUGCGGCCAAAAAAAUUUGGUAUGGAGCAAUCACUGUGAAGGAGGGUCUCUUGUGCGCAGAAGUGUACAGUCAAUGGGGGGAACCUGUGAUCCAAUUGAGGCAUAUCCCGGGAUUUACCCUCUCCAAGAUUCUAGGGGCAUGGAUCUUGAAGGUUCAGGGUUUAGUCUGGUGUAAGUUGGAAUACCUGAAUAUCAAAAAAAAAUAAAAAUAAUAACUCUCCAAAUUCCAGCACCACCACCCCCACCUAACUUCGACGCCACCUCAUUCAUCAUCACCACUAUCACCACACGACGUAAUUCUCCGAUGUAACUCUAACACCACCUCUCUUAUCUUCACCUAAAAUCACGGAAGAGGUAUUGAAAACUCAAAAUCCUACUUUUGCAGCGAGGCCAAGAAGUCUAGCUCGUUAAAUUAUUUCCAAUAAUAGAGUUGCGUGGAAAGGAUGCUAGCUUUGCAACACAGAAGACGAAGAAUCGAAGCCGCAAGUCUCAAUUUGUACCGUGAAAUCAUAUCAAUUGAUUGCAAUUCUUCAAUCUCAAUCCCACACAUAUCGUCGAUUUUUGGCUCAUUUUUUUACAAAGGGCAUCGAAAGCUGGGCCGAAAACAUAAGCACUGGUGUCAAUUCUUGAUUUUCUAGAAAUUUGUCCAACUUUUGGCAAAGAAAAAGAUGUGGGCAAUACAGAAAAUGCCUGAUUUUUGCGAUUGUGGGUUAAUUCUAGCCUAAUUAGUGGUGUUCUGUGGGUUUAAGGUUGAAAGGAAGAGCAAGAGGUGUUGGAGUUGCGUGUUGAAAAUAGAUAUACAGAUAAUUGCAUGUUGGUGAUGAUGGGUGAGGUGGUGUCGGAGUUGGGUGGGUGUGGUGGUGCCGGCAUUUUGGAGGUUUUGGGUUGGGUUGGAGUGGGCUG
rnacentral:lncRNA from 1 species